rnacentral:misc_RNA from 1 species
AACCAUAGAAACCUGCGGAGUACCUGCGGAAGGAUCAUUACAGAGUUAUCCAACUCCCAAACCCAUGUGAACUUAUCUCUUUGUUGCCUCGGCGCAAGCUACCCGGGACCCCGCGCCCCGGGCGGCCCGCCGGCGGACAAACCAAAACUCUUGUUAUCUUAGUUGAUUCUCUGAGCGUCUUAUUUAAUAAGUCAAAACUUUCAGCAACGGAUCU